rnacentral:snRNA from 1 species
AUACUCACUUUGGCAGAACAUGUACUAAAAUUGGAAAGAUACAAAUUGUCCCCUGUUGCAGGAUGACACAUGAAUUUGUGAAGCACUCCAUAUUAUA